UACAGAGGGUGCGAGCGUUAACCGGAAUUACUGGGCGUAAAGCGCGCGUAGGCGGCCAACUAAGUCGGACGUGAAAUCCCCAGGCUCAACCUGGGAACUGCGUCCGAUACUGGAUGGCUUGAAUCCGGGAGAGGGAUGCAGAAUUCCAGGUGUAGCGGUGAAAUGCGUAGAUAUCUGGAGGAAUACCGGUGGCGAAGGCGGCAUCCUGGACCGGCAUUGACGCUGAGGAGCGAAAGCCAGGGGAGCAAACGGG
rnacentral:rRNA from 1 species